AUUGAACGUUGGCGGCAGGCUUAACACAUGCAAGUCGAGCGGGGGAAGGUAGCUUGCUACCGGACCUAGCGGCGGACGGGUGAGUAAUGCUUAGGAAUCUGCCUAUUAGUGGGGGACAACAUCUCGAAAGGGAUGCUAAUACCGCAUACGUCCUACGGUCGCAAGCAGGGGAUCUUCGUACCUUGCGCUAAUCGAUGAGCCUAAGUCGGAUUAGCUAGUUGGUGGGGUAAAGGCCUACCCAGGCGACGAUCUGUAGCGGGUCUGAGAGGAUGAUCCGCCACACUGGGACUGAGACACGGCCCAGACUCCUACGGGAGGCAGCAGUGGGGAAUAUUGGACAAUGGGGGGAACCCUGAUCCAGCCAUGCCGCGUGUGUGAAGAAGGCCUUAUGGUUGUAAAGCACUUUAAGCGAGGAGGAGGCUACUUUAGUUAAUACCUGGAGAUAGUGGACGUUACUCGCAGAAUAAGCACCGGCUAACUCUGUGCCAGCCGCCGCAGUAA
rnacentral:rRNA from 1 species